rnacentral:scRNA from 1 species
CCGCCGCAAAGUUAUCAUGCGGCGGCAGUCUC